rnacentral:misc_RNA from 1 species
GGCAGAAGCACUCAACUGGUAGGAAGAGACACAGUGUCCAUUACAGAGAAGAAGCACUGGCAUGCCCAGCCACGGCGAACGCGGCCAUGAAGCAUAUUAACGUUGAAACGGCGGCGAGGGAGCAGCUCGUCGACUUUAUUCGCCGCAUGCAUCCACAGCUGCGGCGGGAGCAAGAGCGAGUGCGCGAGUUGGAGUCGCAAAUUAGUGGCCUUCAGGCCUUCAUUCAAGAAAAGAACGCCGAGAUUCGAGAGCUUCGCAUGCAGAGCGACAGACUGACAGAGAAGUCUGCAAGUGACGAGGAAACCAUUAGCACCUUAAUCAAACAGAUGGAGGAAAUGCGCUCUGUGGAGUCGCCUUCGUCCAGCGUAGUACCGCUUAGCGCCACCACUACAGUCCAGCGCGGCCGAACGGCCGAACAUGGAAAAGGGAAGUCGCACCCCUCUACCAAUGCAGGAGGUGGCGAGUACACGCCUGAGACGCUCCGACCGCUUGAAGUCGGAAACGGCGACGGGGGUCGCUCACCCGCUCUUACACCGAUACCUCUCAAGGUUAAUACGGAGAGCGCGCUGGCACAAGUGAAGUCGCAAAACGCCGCCGCCGCCGCCGCCGCCAUUGCCGGCAAGAUGGAGGAGAUAGCUAACCUGGAAAAGAAGGUGCGAGAGCUGAUGGAGGUGAAUGCGUUCUACUCCGCUAUUGUCUCUCAGCACGACCAGGAGGAAAAGGUGCGCAUGAGUCAAGCACUGGCAUGCCGCAGUGGGCACUCCGAUGAUCACGUAGCUGGUCUUCGUCAGGAGGUUGAAGGGUUGCAGCUUCGCAUCUCUACCAUGGCCGGCCAUGGCGAGAAGCUGCAGCGCAUCAUCAGGGCGGUAGAGUGUGAGAAGGCUGCUCUGAGGGAGGAGAACGAGGCUCUUAAAAGGGAGUCCAUGGUGCUGGAGGCAGAGAUGGAGGAGAUGACACGCGAGUACGCGCGGACUCGAAAGUCGCUCGUAGCGGCGGCGACAGCUGUACAGCCCUCUGACUCGCUGAAGCGGUCGUUUGCAUUCGCGGAGGAUGUGCCACAAGCACGGGCCGCCUCGGCGCCCCAACACGGACUCACGCGAGAGCCGCCGUCCAGAGGAUCAACCGCGACCGUCGACGCCUACUCGCAGCAGCCCGAUCGCCGUGUUUCGUACCUCUCGACUGGCCCCGCGCCUUGCGUGUCCCCACUUGCGCGCGACGGAAAGCAGGGCAUGAUUGGCGGGGUAGCCACUUCAGCACAGACAGCGUCCAGCAUUGCAACAACGCAGUCGCACUCGCGCUUCACCUUCCGAUCGCUUCGUCCGAUACGCGUGCGCAACCCGGACGCGCACGAAAGGGAGCUGCUAGAUCGGAUACAUUUAUACGAGGAGCAGUUUGCCCAGAUGGAGGCGUUUGAGGCGGAUCGGCAGCGCAGCUUUGAUGAAAUGGAGCGGAACCGAGCGGAGCUCUUCGUUUCAAUGAACAGUCAGCUCGAAAAGCAGCGAAAAGAGAUCCACCGACUACGCAAGCUGCACGAGGAGACAUCUCUCAAGUCCUCUGUUACAGCGCAUCCAUCACGCAGUCACUCCUUUGUGUCCUGGCCGAACAGAGAAGAGGAAGAGGAGAGAGGCAGCUUGCGCCGCCGUGGGUCACCAUCCCCUGUAGAACGUUGUCUCACGGCAGUGCCAAUAGGCUCGCAUUCACUGCGCUUCGUCGACUCUUCUGACGGUUUAGACGCUGCGGAUGACACUACUGCAGCGUGGGCCAACGAGCGAGAGAGUGUCCUCUCACAUGAGCGUCAUGGGCGGCAGGUCACCUCGGGGGCUUCAUCUGUCUCUUUCAGCCCUCUCGAUGAGCUUAUGUGGCGCGAAAAGCACGAACGCUCGAACAUCUGUGUGGAGGCUGUUGAGGAAGAGCUGCAACUCUUUGUUGGCAUGCACGCUGCCACCGUCCGGCUCUCUACCGGCGCACUGGAGGCGCGUGAGGCUCAGCUACUUCGCGAGACGACUGACCUGAAGAAGGUUGUGGACGCGUUGCAGACGCGCGUCGUCGGCCUCGAAGCACAGCUGGUCAGCACAAGAGAGGCGGAGAAGGUGGUCGCAGGGGACGCGACGGAGUCGGAAGCGAUGGCGAUGACAGGCGCUGGAGACGCAGACUCACCCGACACGAAUUUGUCGCAUAUUUCCACAGAGCUGUGGAAAGGCAAAGCAUUACACACGGCGCUUAUGGCGUUGGAAGCAUACGGCACCGUUUUGAAGUAUCACACAGAGUCUAUCAAGGGCUGUCGAUUGAACAGCUCUGGCGCCGAGGAGGCGGCGGUUUCAGAAGAAGGUUGCAUGGAUGCUGAGAUUGCACGGGAUCUGGAGGAGGUAAAGAUGGCGCUUGUUGCAGCUCGGUUCCCGCCGCAGUUGCAGCGAUCGUUUCCUCAAGCAGUAACGCCUCAUCUCUACGGCGACUCAACUGCAUCAAGGACUGUGGGUGAACUCUUCAAAACUUGCCAAGCCAACACAGACGCCUGCGACGGGGCAGAGGUAGUGGGGGCUGGCAGCAGGGACCAAACCUCUUUGCACCCAGCCCCACCGCAGCCCCUUUCCCUACUUACGCAAACGCAGAUUACGCCAUCGUCGUCUCACACUGACAGUGCGGACAGAGAAGAGGUCAUGCACGGGAUGGCCGGAAUUGUGGGACAGGUGGACGUGAUUUCUUAUAUCCCGCCUGAUAUCUUUUCGAAUAAGCAGGCAGUGGUGCGAAACCCACGGAACGCCGUCAGCAGCGUAAACGGCGGAAUGCAGGAAGAAAGGAUGGAUGAGGACAGCGGGUCGAUGGCCGCACCAUCUCACGAUGACGCUGAGAAGGCAGUUUUCAUGGUCACCGAAGCCCUUGGUGACGACGCAGUUUCACUGCCUCUGAGCACCGCAGAAGCUGUCACUGAUACAUCACCGCUUCAGGACUCUCUUAAGGAGGAGAAUCCCCACAGCUUGACUGCGACGAGCGACGACGGGGACGCGAGCGCCGGUAUGAAUUUAUCCUCAGAACCUCGCCAAGCUCAGUCGUCAGUUUCCGAGAGCGCUCGCCAAGAUAAGGAGGAUGAUGCUCGGAGGGAGGAGCAACUCUCAGAUGAUUCCGAGGAUGACAGCUCGAUGGCGCAUGACAACGGUACGCUGAGCUCCACCUCGCUGUUGGAGGUCACGGCGGGAGAGGAGGUGGAGUUCCUCGCACAACUGGAGAAAGAGAUGGCGAAGGGCGGGUCGGAAAUGGUAACGGAGCCGAUCGACGACGAGGAUGGGAUAGUGGCCUCGCCAGAAGACCGUGACAUCAAUGGUGGCGGGGAGGACCGCGAGGCGGGCUGCGGCGAAAGCCAGCGUGCAGGCAGUGAAGUCGCCGCAGCGGAGGCCUCGUCCACGGCCAGUGUGUCGCCGUCGCCUUGUGGUGCUGAUGGACAGCAGCAAAGCCGCCGAGGUGGUGCCUCUCAAGAAAAGCAAGAGCUCGACCCUGCCGUCCUCGAAGCUGAGCUCGACGAAGCCGCGUCGCCAGCGGAGUCGUCUGACGGACGGGCUGGUAAAUCUGCUGCAGCUUCCUCGCUGUCGCCGGACCGCGACGAUAUGUCAGAGGAGCGGUCUUCUUCCACAUCUCGUCCGAGCACUACUUCCUCCUCGUCGUCCUCCUCGGGUGCCGGUGCGUCGACCUCGAUGGAAGGCGUCCAUUUCGAGUCUGCUGUUGAGCGUGAUCACCCCGCACCACAGAUCCCUGCUUCUGUGGCAGGACCGCCGCCGUCCCUUCCGCCAAUUUCUUUAGAAGCGCUUUUCGGGGCCUCUGCAGUCAUCGCUGAUUCCCCCUCCACAAGGCACAACGGCGACCGCCAGCCCUUCCCUGCUUCACCCGCAUCGCGCCGCUCUCCUCGGUUCCCCGAUCCCAACGUGUCACCCCAGACUGCCAAUCUCGACCAUGCGAUGAGGCCUACCACGCCUCCCAAUAGCAUAUUCCCGCCUUAUGUGCAACAGACUCCUUCGGGUACGUACUUCUCGUUGCCCCGAUCCGAAGACCAACAACUGAAGCCAGCAGGUGGCACCGAGGGCCCUCAGUCGCACGGAUCCCCCUCCGAAGAUGACUUCGAGGCGGGGUUUGAUCCUUUUGCGUAAGGCGAGUGUGCGCUCUUUUUCUCUUCCACGUGACCACUCUGUGCCGUCCAACAUGAGUUACACUCCAGUCGACCUGUCACGGGCCCCCAUCGCGUGGCACGACCCUCGGGGCGGCGCUCAGGCUCUCCGCGCCAGCAGGCAGUGCGACGGCCCGGCGUGGGAUAGCUCGAGUCACGCUGACACGCUGUCCAUCACAUGGGUGGCACGGACGCGUGCGCUGUCGCAGCCCGCUCUGACGCACCGCCGUCCAGGACCCGACCGCCGAUAUCCGUGGCGAUGAAGCGCUCUGACCCCCCCAGCUCGUAGGUGCUUGCCCAUGCCACCACCAGAGGUGGUUCGGCAUUGGCAGGGGUUAGGUGGGGGCUGCGUGGCUUCCCCACACAGAGUGGGGGCACUGGACCCUGAGACACCACGCACCGAGAUGGGUGUGUCCCUCGCCGUCAGGCCAGAGUGUGCUCUUACGCAGAUGUGAUGCGACGUUGAGCAUUAGACAGCAGCGCCUGGCUUUUCCAUAGUGCUGAGGACGUGUGCGUGCGCGAGCGCGGUUGCGGCGACUCUUUGCUGCUGCUGUACUCCUCCUUUUACUGCUUCAGCUGCGCUUUGUGCUUCUCCGGCGUGUAUUGUUGGCGCGCCUGCAGCGUAGCGCUCUUCAAAGUUGGCAUCCCCCACUACUCCCCCCAUCCUUGCGUUUGCGUUCUCGUCCUUUGGUAUGUAUUCGUCUUUCCGCUGUCUUGUAGGUUAGAGAUGGGGGAGGAGAGGAAAUGGGGACUGAAAAGAACACAAAAAGAAAAUCCGCUUCUUCGUGUUGCGAAGAUGCUGACGUGUUGCAGGCUUGUGCUUGUGUCUCUGUGUGUGUGUGUGUGUGCACGUUGACGUGGCUGCGUGCAUAGUGUCCAGGUUGACUGGCCCUCCUCAUUUCCCUUCCCCCUUGCUCUACCGUUCCUAGCAUCUUGCUAUCGAUGUGUGUGUAUUUUCUUGCCUGUCGUUUCUGUCUUCGAACUCCUGCAUUAGUGUCGCGACGUAUGUUUUUGUCCCCGUUCUCUUUUUGCGUUUUUUUUUUGGUUUGACGUCGCUGUGGCUGCCUGCUUUUUUUUUGUAUUUGUUUGUUGCUUUCUUGUGUGGUGCUGCCACCCCGGUAAAGGAGAGCUGACGGCGCACAGGGUUUCGACAAGAACUGCAUUGUUCAGCGUAGCUUGCGGCGGUGCAUCGUGAGAAGAAC